GUGCCAGCAGCCGCGGUAAAACGUAGGGUGCAAGCGUUAUCCGGAUUCACUGGGUGUAAAGCGCGUGCAGGUGGUUUCGUAAGUUGGACGUGAAAUCUCUCGGCUUAACUGGGAGGGGCCGUUCAAUACUGCGGGACUUGAGGGCAGGAGAGGGAGGUGGAAUUCCCGGUGUAGUGGUGAAAUGCGUAGAUAUCGGGAGGAACACCAGUGGCGAAGGCGGCCUCCUGGCCUGCUCCUGACACUGAGACGCGAAAGCUAGGGGAGCGAACGGGAUUAGAAACCCCCGUAGUCC
rnacentral:rRNA from 1 species